rnacentral:rRNA from 1 species
CGGACCGGCGCACGGUGAGUAACGCGUAUGCAACCUACCUAUCAGAGGGGGAUAACCCGGCGAAAGUCGGACUAAUACCGCAUAAAACAGGGGUUCCACAUGGAAAUAUUUGUUAAAGAAUUAUCGCUGAUAGAUGGGCAUGCGUUCCAUUAGAUAGUUGGUGAGGUAACGGCUCACCAAGUCCACGAUGGAUAGGGGUUCUGAGAGGAAGGUCCCCCACACUGGUACUGAGACACGGACCAG